CUUCAUGUGACAUACUACAUUAGUCAGCACAUGACAUCAGAAAAAUACUAUUGAAUUGAUUGUAUCUAAAUAAUUAUCAUGGACCUAUUUAAUCUGACAACUCAUUACCAAAGCUUCAAGAUGCUGAAAGUUAAAUCAGGCCAUUGGUUCUUUUCCUGAACCUGAGGGAGCCUCAGGGGAUAAGCCUAAAUUGUUUGUCUGCUGUGGAUCCCAUUGAGAGGCUGUGCUCACCCCUCAAGGCUCCUGAGCUGUGAGGGAAGCCAGGAUUCCUGAGAGUGAGCAGCCCCAAAGGGAAAUGACAGGCCUGAGGGCUGCCACAAAGUAAGCAGUUGUUCUCUGCAAUGCCCUUCCACCAAGAUGUUCCUGCCUAGACCCAGCCGGUCAUGGGCUAAACUUCUGAAUUUGUGAGCCCUAAUAAACCUCUCUUAGCUUUA
ensembl:lncRNA